rnacentral:lncRNA from 1 species
GUCUUUGGCGGCUGCUGGAAUGGGGAACGCCAGCCCUGAGGAUGAUGACAGGAAGGUGCGAAGGAGAGAAAAAAACCGAGUUGCUGCUCAGAGAAGUCGGAAGAAGCAGACCCAGAAGGCUGACAAACUCCACGAGCCCCAGUGUCCACAGGGCUCCAGUAGCACCAUCUGGCAACCAUCCCUU